rnacentral:misc_RNA from 1 species
CGUUAGUAGGUGAAGCGGCAUCCUUUUUUAUCUACAAGGAAGAAGGAAGGAAUAAAAAAGAUAGAGCAAACACACGACCUCGU